GCUCCUUAAUUAUUUUUAUAUUACACUGUCAGUGUAAAGAGGCUUUAUUUAAGGCGGGGAGUA
rnacentral:tRNA from 1 species